rnacentral:misc_RNA from 1 species
GGGCAGUUGAUUGGAAUCUGAAAAAUACUACAAGCCAGAAUCCUUCACAAAAUCAUGCUUCAAAAGCUUAUCAGCAGUUGGACGCUCAUUUGGAUUACGUUUCAGGCACUGCUUGAUAAAAUCUAGUGCCAGAGGAUAAUCAUGAAGACUAUAAUUAGGAAGAUGAUCUACAAUGGACCCUCUUUGAACCUCCAAUUCUAGAUUUGCAUUCAAAUUUUUCAAAUGAGAGUACGGAAAAUCCCUAAUUAACAUCUCCACGACGGUGCAGCCAAGGCUCCAAAUAUCAGCUUCAAAUCCAUACUCUUUGUCCUGUUUCAUAACCUCCGGAGCUAUCCAGUCUAUUUUCCCAUAUCGAGAUUUCAAAAGAGCAAUUACUCCAGUCACUUUUGUCAAUCCAAAAUCUGUAAUUUUCACGUAUCCUUUCUCAUCCACCAGUAUAUUUGCACAUUUGAUGUCUCUAUGGACUACCUUUCGCUCAUGGAGAUACUU